CGGGACUAGUGGCGGACGGGUGAGUAACGCGUGGGAACGUGCCCCUUGGUUCGGAAUAGCCCCGGGAAACUGGGAGUAAUACCGGAUAAGCUCUACGGAGGAAAGAUUUAUCGCCAAGGGAUCGGCCCGCGUUGGAUUAGGUAGUUGGUGGGGUAAUGGCCUACCAAGCCGACGAUCCAUAGCUGGUUUGAGAGGAUGAUCAGCCACACUGGGACUGAGACACGGCCCAGACUCCUACGGGAGGCAGCAGUGGGGAAUCUUAGACAAUGGGGGAAACCCUGAUCUAGCCAUGCCGCGUGAUCGAUGAAGGCCUUAGGGUUGUAAAGAUCUUUCAGAUGGGAAGAUAAUGACGGUACCAUCAGAAGAAGCCCCGGCUAACUCCGUGCCAGCAGCCGCGGUAAUACGGAGGGGGCUAGCGUUAUUCGGAAUUACUGGGCGUAAAGCGCACGUAGGCGGAUCAGAAAGUCAGAGGUGAAAUCCCGGGGCUCAACCCCGGAACGGCCUUUGAAACUCCUGGUCUUGAGGUCGAGAGAGGUGAGUGGAAUUCCGAGUGUAGAGGUGAAAUUCGUAGAUAUUCGGAGGAACACCAGUGGCGAAGGCGGCUCACUGGCUCGAUACUGACGCUGAGGUGCGAAAGCGUGG
rnacentral:rRNA from 1 species